GAUGAACGCUGGCGGCGUGCCUAAUACAUGCAAGUCGAGCGAACGGACGAGAAGCUUGCUUCUCUGAUGUUAGCGGCGGACGGGUGAGUAACACGUGGAUAACCUACCUAUAAGACUGGGAUAACUUCGGGAAACCGGAGCUAAUACCGGAUGAUAUUUUGAACCGCAUGGUUCAAAAGUGAAAGACGGUCUUGCUGUCACUUAUAGAUGGAUCCGCGCUGCAUUAGCUAGUUGGUAAGGUAACGGCUUACCAAGGCAACGAUGCAUAGCCGACCUGAGAGGGUGAUCGGCCCCACUGGAACUGAGCCACGGUCCAGACUCCUACGGGAGGCAGCAGUAGGGAAUCUUCCGCAAUGGGCGAAAGCCUGACGGAGCAACGCCGCGUGAGUGAUGAAGGUCUUCGGAUCGUAAAACUCUGUUAUUAGGGAAGAACAUAUGUGUAAGUAACUGUGCACAUCUUGACGGUACCUAAUCAGAAAGCCACGGCUAACUACGUG
rnacentral:rRNA from 1 species